UACGGGGGGGGCAAGCGUUGUUCGGAAUUACUGGGCGUAAGGGGCUCGUAGGCGGCCAACUAAGUCAGACGUGAAAUCCCUCGGCUUAACCGGGGAACUGCGUCUGGUACUGGAUGGCUUGAGUUCGGGAGAGGGAUGCGGAAUUCCAGGUGUAGCGGUGAAAUGCGUAGAUAUCUGGAGGAACACCGGUGGCGAAGGCAGCUCGCUGGGACGGUACUGACGCUGAGGCGCGAAAGCGUGGGGAGCAAACAGG
rnacentral:rRNA from 1 species